CUGCUGACGGUGCUGCUGGUGGGAGGAGAGAGUCAAAGAGAGAGCCUGCUGGUGGUGGUGGUGGUGGUGGGAGGCGCGUGGGGAAGCACGCGUCUCCGAGGAGGAGAGAUCGACAGGGCUGUAAAGGCUGUUGUAGUGGUGGGGGUCUAGAGGGAUGCCGACGAACUGCUGCUGUUGCUGGUGGUGGUGGUGGUGGCCGGAGGAGAAGUGGUGAGGCGGAGGAGGAGGGGUGACGUCGUCGUGGUCGGAGUAGUGGUGGACGUAGGUAGGGUUCAUAAGGAGGAGGGUAUG
rnacentral:lncRNA from 1 species